AAGUCGUAACAAGGUUUCCGUAGGUGAACCUGCGGAAGGAUCAUUAACACGUAUCCAAACGUUAAAACCCCCCCCGGGAACCUUCAUCCUGCUCUUGUAACCCGCGUAGUCUGAUAAAUCAUAGCCCGGAAAGUUGUAGUGAUUCAGAGACCUCUGGAAGAUAGCGCUUCUACGAUUCCUGUAGACCGUACACUCGGGCAGGAGCUUUGCCAAAGGGUCCCCAUGCCCCCUAAUAACCCCACAGUUUAAUGUGAAGCUCAAUGUAAUACAUUGGUUAAAAAAACCGAACAACUGUUAACAAUGGAUAUCUUGGUUCUC
rnacentral:misc_RNA from 1 species